rnacentral:rRNA from 1 species
CCUACGGGAGGCAGCAGUGGGGAAUCUUGCGCAAUGGGCGAAAGCCUGACGCAGCCAUGCCGCGUGAAUGAUGAAGGUCUUAGGAUUGUAAAAUUCUUUCACCGGGGACGAUAAUGACGGUACCCGGAGAAGAAGCCCCGGCUAACUUCGUGCCAGCAGCCGCGGUAAUACGAAGGGGGCUAGCGUUGCUCGGAAUUACUGGGCGUAAAGGGAGCGUAGGCGGACAUUUAAGUCAGGGGUGAAAUCCCGGGGCUCAACCUCGGAAUUGCCUUUGAUACUGGGUGUCUUGAGUAUGAGAGAGGUGUGUGGAACUCCGAGUGUAGAGGUGAAAUUCGUAGAUAUUCGGAAGAACACCAGUGGCGAAGGCGACACACUGGCUCAUUACUGACGCUGAGGCUCGAAAGCGUGGGGAGCAAACAGGAUUAGAUACCCUGGUAGUCCACGCCGUAAACGAUGAUUGCUAGUUGUCGGGAUGCAUGCAUUUCGGUGACGCAGCUAACGCAUUAAGCAAUCCGCCUGGGGAGUACGGUCGCAAGAUUAAAACUCAAAGGAAUUGACGGA